UAGGGAAUCUUCGGCAAUGGGGGGAACCCUGACCGAGCAACGCCGCGUGAGUGAAGAAGGUUUUCGGAUCGUAAAGCUCUGUUGUUAAGGAAGAACGAGUGUGAGAAUGGAAAGUUCAUACUGUGACGGUACUUAACCAGAAAGGGACGGCUAACUACGUGCCAGCAGCCGCGGUAAUACGUAGGUCCCGAGCGUUGUCCGGAUUUAUUGGGCGUAAAGCGAGCGCAGGCGGUUAGAUAAGUCUGAAGUUAAAGGCAGUGGCUCAACCAUUGUAGGCUUUGGAAACUGUUUAACUUGAGUGCAGAAGGGGAGAGUGGAAUUCCAUGUGUAGCGGUGAAAUGCGUAGAUAUAUGGAGGAACACCGGUGGCGAAAGCGGCUCUCUGGUAUGUAACUGACGCUGAGGCUCGAAAGCGUGGGGAGCGAACAGG
rnacentral:rRNA from 1 species